GGGUUGGUUGCUCAGUGGAUGAGAGCACAUGGUUUCGAGCCGUGGAUCCGGGGGUUCGAAUCCCUACCAAUUCA
rnacentral:tRNA from 14 species